GUGGGGAAUAUUGCACAAUGGGCGCAAGCCUGAUGCAGCGACGCCGCGUGAGGGAUGGAGGCCUUCGGGUUGUAAACCUCUUUUAUCGGGGAGCAAGCGAGAGUGAGUUUACCCGUUGAAUAAGCACCGGCUAACUACGUGCCAGCAGCCGCGGUAAUACGUAGGGUGCAAGCGUUAUCCGGAAUUAUUGGGCGUAAAGGGCUCGUAGGCGGUUCGUCGCGUCCGGUGUGAAAGUCCAUCGCUUAACGGUGGAUCCGCGCCGGGUACGGGCGGGCUUGAGUGCGGUAGGGGAGACUGGAAUUCCCGGUGUAACGGUGGAAUGUGUAGAUAUCGGGAAGAACACCAAUGGCGAAGGCAGGUCUCUGGGCCGUUACUGACGCUGAGGAGCGAAAGCGUGGGGAGCGAACAGGAUUAGAAACCCUAGUAGUCC
rnacentral:rRNA from 1 species